GAGGAAGAAAGCAGAGUUGAGCUAUUGAUUGUCAAGGAUUUAGGAAGAAUUGAGAGAACAUCAUCAGUGCAAAAUAGAGGUUAAAGCAGGAGGUUGAGGUGGGCACUCCAUGCCAACAAAUUGAAUAAUAUUCUUCCAGAUGAAGUGGAGAGGUUUGCAUGAUGUGAAUAUUGCUGCAUGAGGGGAGAAGAAUCUGCAAGACAACACAGGUAAUUUUUUU